GGCGGGGGGCCUAUACAUGCAGUCGAACGAGUUCUCGUUGAUGAUCGGUGCUUGCACCGAGAUUCAACAUGGAACGAGUGGCGGACGGGUGAGUAACACGUGGGUAACCUGCCCUUAAGUGGGGGAUAACAUUUGGAAACAGAUGCUAAUACCGCAUAGAUCCAAGAACCGCAUGGUUCUUGGCUGAAAGAUGGCGUAAGCUAUCGCUUUUGGAUGGACCCGCGGCGUAUUAGCUAGUUGGUGAGGUAAUGGCUCACCAAGGCGAUGAUACGUAGCCGAACUGAGAGGUUGAUCGGCCACAUUGGGACUGAGACACGGCCCAAACUCCUACGGGAGGCAGCAGUAGGGAAUCUUCCACAAUGGACGCAAGUCUGAUGGAGCAACGCCGCGUGAGUGAAGAAGGCUUUCGGGUCGUAAAACUCUGUUGUUGGAGAAGAAUGGUCGGCAGAGUAACUGUUGUCGGCGUGACGGUAUCCAACCAGAAAGCCACGGCUAACUACGUGCCAGCAGCCGCGGUAAUACGUAGGUGGCAAGCGUUAUCCGGAUUUAUUGGGCGUAAAGCGAGCGCAGGCGGUUUUUUAAGUCUGAUGUGAAAGCCCUCGGCUUAACCGAGGAAGCGCAUCGGAAACUGGGAAACUUGAGUGCACAAGAGGACAGUGGAACUCCAUGUGUAGCGGUGAAAUGCGUAGAUAUAUGGAAGAACACCAGUGGCGAAGGCGGCUGUCUGCUCUGUAACUGACGCUGAGACUCGAAAGCAUGGCUAGCGAACAGGAUUACAUACCCUGGUAGUCAUG
rnacentral:rRNA from 1 species